AUGAACGCUAGCGGCAGGCUUAACACAUGCAAGUCGAGGGGUAGGGCAGCAAUGCUUGAGACCGGCGCACGGGUGCGUAACGCGUAUGCAAUCUACCUUUUGCAGAGGGAUAGCCCAGAGAAAUUUGGAUUAAUACCUCAUAGUAUAAUGAAUUCGCAUGGAUUUAUUAUUAAAGUAACAACGGCAAAAGAUGAGCAUGCGUCCCAUUAGCUAGAUGGUAAGGUAACGGCUUACCAUGGCGACGAUGGGUAGGGGUCCUGAGAGGGAGAUCCCCCACACUGGUACUGAGACACGGACCAGACUCCUACGGGAGGCAGCAGUGAGGAAUAUUGGACAAUGGGCGCAAGCCUGAUCCAGCCAUGCCGCGUGCAGGAUGACGGUCCUAUGGAUUGUAAACUGCUUUUGUACAGGAAGAAACCCUCGGACGUGUCCGAGAUUGACGGUACUGUAAGAAUAAGGAUCGGCUAACUCCGU
rnacentral:rRNA from 1 species